GACGAACGCUGGCGGCGUGCCUAAUACAUGCAAGUCGAACGCACAGUUUAUACCGUAGCUUGCUACACCAUAGACUGUGAGUUGCGAACGGGUGAGUAACGCGUAGGUAACCUGCCUGGUAGCGGGGGAUAACUAUUGGAAACGAUAGCUAAUACCGCAUAAUAUUAAUUAUUGCAUGAUAAUUAAUUGAAAGGUGCAAUUGCACCACUACCAGAUGGACCUGCGUUGUAUUAGCUAGUAGGUGAGGUAACGGCUCACCUAGGCGACGAUACAUAGCCGACCUGAGAGGGUGAUCGGCCACACUGGGACUGAGACACGGCCCAGACUCCUACGGGAGGCAGCAGUAGGGAAUCUUCGGCAAUGGACGAAAGUCUGACCGAGCAACGCCGCGUGAGUGAAGAAGGUUUUCGGAUCGUAAAGCUCUGUUGUAAGAGAAGAACGGGUGUGAGAGUGGAAAGUUCACACUGUGACGGUAUCUUACCAGAAAGGGGCGGCUAACUACGUG
rnacentral:rRNA from 1 species